UGUGUCUCCCACCUUUCCUCCUGACCCUUGUCUUCAGGUUGCUGGGGUUGUGCAAUAACUUUGCGUACGUGGUGAUGCUGAGUGCAGCCCAUGACAUCUUAAAACAACAAGGGUCUCACAACUCCACAUCGCCUACCCCAUCCACAGUUGCCUUGGACGUUGAAGGUG